rnacentral:sRNA from 1 species
AAAUUUUAAAAGAUUACCGAAGACAGCAGGAGCUCUAAACAGCUUAAUAAUUAUCCUGCCGAGGCAAAUAAAAACGACUUGAAUUAUAUUUUCAUAAAUUCAAGCACUUUUUGCCGCCGGUAAAAAGUGCUUUUUUUAUUU